AUUGAACGCUGGCGGCAGGCCUAACACAUGCAAGUCGAGCGGAGCGGCGGACGGGUGAGUAAUGCCUAGGAAUCUGCCUCGUAGUGGGGGCUAACGUCCGGAAACGGGCGCUAAUACCGCAUACUAUCAGAUGAGCCUAUGUCGGAUUCGCUAGUUGGUGGGGUAAAGGCCUUCCAAGGCGACGAUCCGUAACUGGUCUGAGAGGAUGAUCAGUCACACUGUAACUGAUACACGGUCCAGACUCCUACGGGAGUCAGCAGUGGGGAAUAUUGGACAAGGGGCGAAAGCCGGAUCCAGCCAUGCCGCGUGGGUGAAGAAGGUCUUCGGAUUGUAAAGCACUUUAAGUUGGGAGGCGGUACCAACAGAAUAAGCACCGGCUAACUUCGUGCCAGCAGCCGCGGUAAUUC
rnacentral:rRNA from 1 species